GAAAGCCUUCCUGAAAAAGUGAGUGAAACCUCACGUUUCACUAACUCCAGUACAGUAUGAUACACACAAAUAUAUAGACAGAUGGAUGGAUAGGCCAACAGGGAUAGACAUCGAAACAUAGAUGGAUAACAUCACUUUCAUUUAGUUUUAAAUUGCUUUUUUUGUCCUUACAUUUAUUUUACACAGUUAUAGUGUUGCAUGUGACUUUUAUGUACAGGCCUACUCUAUGCUACUAGACUGAAGUCUAUCGUGUCAUUUGAGAGAGCAUACACUGUAUGCUCAUAAACCACCUCUUAAGUUUUCAGGAAGUGUUAACGUGCACGUCUGUCUGCUUCUGCCCAUGUCGUACUGUUAGCUAUUGGAAACGGAGAAUUAUCAAAAUAAUAUAAAUACAGCUAAAGAACAGCAUGUGAGAGGAAACCUAUGAGUGACGACAUUAAAACAAAGUUACUCACCUGUGCAAUGGCGAGUGAACGCUCCACAAAUGUUUAUGGGGGUCCUCCUCCCCAGUCAGAUCUUAGACUCCUGCUGCUUGGGAGAGUAGGAGCUGGGAAGAGUACAGUAGCCAAAACCAUCCUGGGCAGAGAUCCAGUGCCCCAUGUGACAACAAUUUUGGACCCCCUUGUGGCCCCCCUAAAUGUGGAGUAUGAAAUAAUUUUGACAUAGCAAAAAUGUGUUAUCGUUCUUUUUUUUACAUCCGUUAUUAGACAGUGGCAACGAUGAUGAUUAUGAACAUGGUCUUUUGCCUGCUAAUGCAGUGAAGAAAACGAUAUGACAACAAUAACGUCUAAUGUAACUGGCCCCUCUAACAGUACAACUAGCCCCAGCUUGGCCCCCCCCAGUUGAAAUGGUCUAGAACCGCCACUGCGUGGUGGACACCCCGGGCUGGGACACUGUGAAGUACACGUCCACACACCUCAAACAAGAAAUUAAGAAUAGUGUGACCCUAUGUCCUCCAGGACCCCAUGCUCUUCUUCUGGUGGUGCCCAUGGGCGACCCUCUCUCCUCCGCAGAAAGAAAGGCGAUUCGGUAUCACAUGGAGCUAUUGUCAGUAAGGGCAUGGAAGUUUACCGUGGUGUUGUUUGUCAGUGAGGCUGAGGAGAAAUGCACAUCCAUUCAACAGAAUCAGAUGAUCGACAGAGCAAAAAGUUUUCUAGCGAAAUGUGGAGACAGACACCAUCUCCUUGAGUGUGGGAAUUCUCCUUCAAAGAUUUCUGAGCUCCUGAAAAAGAUAGACCCCAUGGUAGCAGAAAACUGUGAAGAAUUCUUAAUCCCCAAGUAUACUAUGAACUGAUGGAGACUACAAUGCCAAGAGAAGUGACCGAGCUGAGAAGGAUGUAUGAAGACAGAGAGGACAGACUGAAACAGAAAUACAAAACAGAGUUGAAAGAAAAGGAAGAAGAGCUGAAGAAGUAUAGAGAAGAAGAGAAGCCUAAAGAAAGGUUGAUGAAGAGGACAAGUAGCAGUCAACUACUUCCCCCCCAGUAUAAGCACAGAGAAGCAGGACAGGUCGGUAAUGGCUGACCAUCAGAAGGUGGACCUACAGGCCGUCAAGCAAGGAUAUAGGGAAGAGGCCUUGUCUGUGGUGGGCCACUACGUCAAACCACUAAUAGUGAUUAUGACAGCUGUAGUGGGGGCACUCAUGGGAGCGGUUGCAGGUGCACAACAUGGAACACUUGGCGCAUGUAUUGGGAUUCCUAUAGGCAUUAUUUUGUCUGUUCUUGUGAGUUAUGCUGUCCGUGGAGCUGCCACAGCAGCAAGGGAUAUUUCCAUCACAGUCAAAGCCGAGGAAAAUGAAAGCCAGAGAGAAGAGGGAGCAGAUUCUACAAAAUCUAAAGGAUUUGAUAAGGAUCAGUGACACUUUUUUGAAUGUCAACGCUAUUCUAUUGCUACAGUGUGUAGUGUAUGGACUGUGCUGUAUGGACUGCCACUCUCAUGGCUCACCUGACUUGACUGGCUGACCCCAAUGAAGAGACAGGACAGACUGCCCAGCAAACCCGGGAACAUACCCAGAACAUAAGAAAGGGUUUUUAUACAAAAUUAGGACGUUCUCCUAACAUUCACAAAAACGCACCACAUCUGUAACAACCACCAUUCCCCAAACAUUCUCGUUAUGUUUCCUGGUAAUGUAAUAACACAAUGUACCAGCAAUGUUUUUAGAACAUACUGCUGCAACAAAAUGUAAGCGCAACGUUCUGGGAACAUUCUUGCAACAUCAGGCGAAUGUUUUAUACAAACAUUGUAUAAUCAUCAGCACAACUGGACAGUUUUUGUGUUAUGAUAACAUUUGCCACAACCUAACAAAUGUUCUGGGACUUUUCAGAGAAACAAUUUUGGUUUGUUAGAUGCACUUUCUCUCUCGCCCUCUCUCCUUCUCUCGCCCUCUCUCUCUCUCUUUGUCUCUCUGUAACUGAUGGUUGUUGUUGAGAGGUUUUUAUUAUUGUGUGGGGGUGAAUGUCUGCACCCUUUGCGACCUGAUGGAUUGUGUUGAUCUGAGUCCUACUAUACUAUUACUAUACUAUUAUCUGGUGUAGUCAUGUUUUCCAGUAGCUGUAGAUAUAUAUCAGUAGUAGAAUCUUUAUGUACAAACAGCAAGGGAAUUUACUCAAACGAAAGGGCAGUUUGCUCUGGAUUUUACUCUGACAGCCGCAGAAGAGAAGGAUGGUAGCAGACUUGAGAACUUCGGAAGACAUAAAUCAUAUUCUUCUCAGCUUUUUAAAUGAUCACUGUUCAAGGAUUCCACAGAGACACAUUUAACAUAGAGCACAGUAGGCUUGAGCAUGAAUGCAUAUAUUUCAGUGAAUUAAAUAAACAAAUGUGAGAUGCCAUAUACAUAUACUCUUUUGCAAUAAAAACGAAAGGUGAUACAUUGUAAGGAUGAUUUCAAAACGGUUCUGUUUUCAUAUUGUACUUUAUUUCAAAUAUGUAUCACCACAGAAUUUCCUCUGUUGACCCACAGUUUUCCCAUACUGUAUUUGUUCACUCAAAAGUCUGCACUCAGGCGCUCACUAAACCCACCUUAUCACAGUGCACCUCACCCUGGUACCCAGCUAACCAGGAGAUUUUUGCACUGGACAUUCUAUUCUAUAUUUAAUUCAUCUUUAAUAUGAUUUAUUGAGCUAUAAAUGUUUUUUCUUUUUGGUAUUUCUGAUAUAAAAAAAAACACAAAUCCUAAUAUAGAAGUCAAGAUGUUUGUGUUUUUAAUGUAAUAUGUAAUUGUUGUACUGUAUGUGUGUUUAUAGUUUUGUUUAAUGUUCUGUUAGUGUAUGUAAAUUGUUUUGUCUGAAACAUUGUUCCCCCUGCUGCUAU